CCUACGGGAGGCAGCAGUGAGGAAUAUUGGUCAAUGGGAGGAAUCCUGAACCAGCCAUGCCGCGUGCAGGACGACGGCUCUACGAGUUGUAAACUGCUUUUGUACCGGGGUAAAAUGCCUUACGUGUAGGGUUUUGAAAGUACGGUACGAAUAAGGAUCGGCUAACUCCGUGCCAGCAGCCGCGGUAAUACGGAGGAUCCGAGCGUUAUCCGGAUUCAUUGGGUUUAAAGGGUGCGUAGGUUGUUUUAUAAGUUAGCGGUGAAAUACCGAUGCUCAACAUCGGGGCUGCCGCUAAUACUGUAGGACUAGAGAUCGGAUGCAGCAGGCGGAAUGUGUAGUGUAGCGGUGAAAUGCAUAGAUAUUACACAGAACACCGAUUGCGAAGGCGACCUGCUAGAACAUAACUGACGCUGAUGCGCGAAAGCGUGGGGAGCAAACAGGAUUAGAUACCCGAGUAGUC
rnacentral:rRNA from 1 species